AACAAUAUGUAGAACUCUCAGCUCCUCCAGUGUUAUGUCUGCCUGGAUGCUGCCAUGUUUCCUGCCAUGAUGAUAAUGGACCUAAUCUCAGAACUACACUCAUUCAGACUUUUUAUCUGGAAUGAAUUACAAUCCAGAAAUGGAGGACUCAGGCUUUUGAUUCAGCUCUUGAGAAAUAGUGGCCAUGAAAAGCUUAGGUCCAGCCAUAGUAGUACAGGCCUUUAAUCCCAAGAGACAGAGGCAAGCAGAUCUCUCAGUUCAAGGCCGACCUGGUAUAGAGCAAGUUAGGUGAUACACACCUCUAAUCCCAGCAUUCAGAAGUCAGCCAUGCAGAUCUCUGAGUGAGGUUCAAGGUCAACCUACAAAGCAAGUUUUAGGACAGCCAAGCUUAGGCAAUGAAGGAGUUGAAAAACAGAAAGCUGAUGAUAAUGUAAUAGAACAAGGGGGCCAAGUUCCAGGUUUAGCAAGCAGCACUUGGAAGCUUCAGUCAUGUGGUUCUGGCUUUAGAGUCAAAAGUAAAAGGGACAAUUGAUGCUGGUUAGCUGGAGCUAUGAAAUUAGCAGUGAUUACAAAAAGAUCAGCAUCAAUGAGGUGAAACCUUCUGGCAAGAAUUUUCUAAGAGCACAAAGAAGUUAUGUUCCAGAGAUAGCCAAGGCUGUACCUACCUCAUGCUUGAUCUACCUGGACUUUGUAAUGUGUAAGAAUCACUCAAGUGGUACUGGUUUUGAAGGCAUGAAGAGCAUCUGAGGCUUGGCACUGGUGAGGCCACAGAAGGUGAUGGUACAGCCUCAAUUGCAGUUGACAGCCCAGAACUAAAGGGAUCAUGCAAAGAACUUGAGGCUUGAAGGGAGCCUAUGAGAGGCUAUUGGUGAAGCCUAGUUCCACUGGAAGACCCCAGCAUAUUGGAGAUGCCAGUACCGUGGGAUGACCACCAAGAACAGCAGCAGCAGUGGAGUAGAGUCAACUAGAGUGCUACAGAGGGCAGAGCUGGAGAAGUGACUCAAGCCUUUGGAGGAGCCCAGAAGAUUAUGUAUGGACCCCAUACACUGGAACAAAAAGAUGUAAAGUUGAAGUUGCCUUGGAUACCUCAAGAUGUUAGAGAUGUCAGAGCCAUGGGAUACCUACCAAGAACAACUGAUAACAGAGAAUGGAACCAGCUCAAGAGAACAAGUUAGUUGCUGCUCAAUGCCAGAUCUGCCAACAGCAGUCAACAAGGAUGAAAGGAGUUAGAGAUCUGAAGAGUGCUUUAACAUCAGACAUGGAGACAGAGUUUGGAGUUUACCCGGAUGGUUUUCUGUAUUACUUUGGCCCAGUAUUUCCUCACCAUGACAUUAUGGAAUGAUAAUGUAUAUUCUACAAGAUGUUGCAGAUAUGUGAUCUGCUUUUUUAUCUUGAUUUCUUAAGGGAUUAUAGUUAAGAGAGUGCAUGAACCUAAGAAGAGACUUUGAACUUUUAACAUUGUUGAGACUGGUAUAGACUAUGGGGCUUUUGAAGCUGGACUAAAUGUAUUUUGCACUAUGCUACAGCUAGGUAUGGCUCGCAUAGACUUACAUGUUUGAAUACGCCUAUGGGGGCUAGGGAGUGUAAUGUGGUGGUUUGAAUAUGCUUGGCCCAUGGAGUGGCACUAUUAGGAGGUGUGGUCUUGUUGGAGUAGUUGUAGCCUUGUUAGAGAAAGUCUGUCAGUGUGGGAGUGGGCUUUGAGACCCUACUCCUAAGUACCUGGAAGCCAGUCUUCUGUUUGCCUUUGGAACAAGAUGUAGAAAUCCCCAGCACAAUGACUGCUUGGACACUGCCAUGCUUCCUGCCAUGAUGAUAAUGGACUGAACCUCAGAACCAGUAAGCCAGCCCUAAUUAAAUGUUGUCCUUUAUAAGAGUUGCCUGGUGGUGGUGGUUGUGGUUGUGGUGGGAGCUGGAGAGAUGGCUUAACAGUUAAGAGCAUGGACUACUCUUCCAGAGUCCUGAGUUCAAUUCCCAGAAACCACAUGGUGGUUCAUAACCAUCUGUAAUGGAAUCUGAUGCCCUCUGCUGGUGUGUCUGAAGAUAACAACAGUGUAUUCACAUAUGUAAAAUAAAUAAAUAAAUAAAUAAAUAAAUAAAUAAAUAAAUAAAUCUUAAAAAAAAAAAGAGAAAAAAAAGAGUUGCCUUGGUCAUGGUGUCUUUUCACAGCAAUGGAAACCCUAAGACAGGGAGGUUGUUGAGUGUUUAGGGAGGUUAAUUGUGGUUUGUUCUUAGUUGUACUCAAAGAAACAAAAGGAAAGAAAUUAAAUUUAGGGAUUCACUCUCUGCCUUCUAUCCAUCUUUCUCUCUUAUCUAGUGUUAGGGGGUAAAACCCAGGGGAUACAGGGUGGAAAAAAGAAUCACAAAGCAGCAAAGGCCAGCUACAUCUGAUGUGAAGGCUGAGAAUGCACAGCAUUUCCUGUGUGGAUGUGAAGGCUUUAACAACAGUGCUUUAGCCGGGCAUGGUGGCACAUGCCUUUAAUCCCAGAACUCGGGAGGCAGAAGCAGGCGGAUUUCUGAGUUCAAGGCCAGUCUGGUCACAGAGUGAGUUCCAGGACAGCCAGGGCUACACAGAGAAACCCUGUCUCAAAACAAAAACAAAAACAAAAAACAGUGCCUUUCUGGCAUAGAGGCUCACUCAACUCAUGGAUGUUCUGUUCUCACUUUGUCGAAUGUGUGCUACCGUGCACAUUGCUCUUUGGUCUUCUCUCCAUGACCCACAGCUUGUGAUGAAAAAAAAAAAGAAUGAGUAGAGAAGGGCCCCCACUUUAAAAACAAACAAAAACCAGGCACAUUUAUUACAGACUGGCAUUGAACCUGCUACUUACGGAGCUGAGGAUGGCCUUGAACUUGAAGACCCUCCACCUCCCAAGUGCCGAGAUUACAGGCAUACUCACCACUGGUGAAUUGAACCCAAUGCUUUGUGUAAUCUAGACAAGUACUCUUAUAAACUGAGCUAUAUCCUCAGACAUUAGACUGAACCUCUGAACCUGGAAGCCAGCCAAAAUUAAAUGUUCUUUUUAAGAGUUGUUUUAGUCAUGGUGUCUGUUCACAGCAGUGAAACCCUAGCUAAGACACUGGCCUAGAACUCACAGAAAAUUUCCUGCUUCUGCCUCAAGGCAUUUGCCACCACAGCCAGCUUUAAAGAAAGGUUUUUGAAAUUUGGCCAAGAGGUUAAUUCUGCCUAUAAAUUAACUUUUAUAUCUUAGCCCAACAUUAUUACCACCAAGAGAGGAGGAAAAGUGUGUUUAUGGCUUCUAACACCUCUCCCGAAGUUUGUAAUCCAAAGCUGUGCCAAUCCACUGCAGCCUUAGCUGUCGCCAUGCCUGUCUUGCCUUUCGGUCUGCUGUCAGUAGUGGAUUGUUUGUUUGUUUGUUUGUUUGCUUGCUUGUUCUAGAGAGAUGGCUCAGUGGUUAAGAGCACUGACUGCUCUUCCAGAGGUCCUGAGUUCAGUUCCCAGCAGCUGCAUGGUGGCUCCCAACCAUCUGUAAUGGGAUCCAGGGAUCUGGAUCUGGCGCCCUCUUCUGGUGAGUCUGAAGACAGUUACAGUGUACUCAUACAUAAAAUAAAUAAAUUUUAGAAAAAGAAAGAACCAUAAACAGACCAAAUGAGGGCAAAUGAAUCAAAUUAUUUUUUCUUUUUAUUGAGCAAACAAGGAUUAUAAAUCAAAGAACACAGCAUAAACAAGAAGGAUUAUAAAUCAAGGAACACCUUGUUUUUAAAAACUGGGGGCUUGAGAGUCAAGGAUCUGGCUUAUUCUGUUGUUAAAGAGUAGAAAUAACAAUUGAAUUAAUCCAAGAGUGCUGCCGUUAACUAGAUCAGUGAUUCCCACUGUAGUAUACUGGAGAAUGGUGGUUGUUGGUUUGUAUCUAAAGUUUAUUAACGGCACUGAGUAGAUGCAGCCUGAGGCAGAACAAGUGCCCUGCUGUGUGUGGGUGGGUCAGUCCCACACACAAACUGUUCGUUCUGCAUCUUUACGACUGUCUAAUGUCCUGGUGGACAUGUAUGCGGGACCUACAACUUGUCUGAAAAAGAAUCCUUGGAUUCCUCUGAGACAAACUGUAGUUUGUCCUGUCUUAUUUAUCUAUCAUUACAAUUAAAGUGAUUGCGCCCUAUCCUUCACCAUAGACAGAUAAAGCGCAGAGUCUGCUAUGGUGAACCCUAAUACUGUAUUCCGUCACACAUCCCUCUAAUCUUUCAUUUUCCUGUACUUCAUUCAUCUCAGGAAGUUGCCCCUGCUGGACUCUUAAGCCAAAGCUAUUCCUAGUGAGAGUUAACAUGUUUCGUAGCUGAUAGCGUAGUCAUGCCUGAGUACUUAACAGUUUAUGUCCAUUACAGAGUUCUGACCUUCUAAGUUUCCAUUAUAACACAAGUAGGGCACUAAAUUAAGUCUGAAUAAACUCAAAUGUAGAUUAUAUUACCUAUAAAUCAUCUCAAGGUGGCAAAGGAUGUUAUAAAAGAUCUACCUUUAAAAGGAUGAACAGAGCCGGGCGUGGUGGCGCACGCCUUUAAUCCCAGCACUCGGGAGGCAGAGGCAGGCGGAUUUCUGAGUUCGAGGCCAGCCUGGUCUACAAAGUGAGUUCCAGGACAGCUAGGACUACGCAGAGAAACCCUGUCUCAAAAACACCAAAAAAAAAAAAAAAAAAAAAAAAAAAGAUGAACAGGUCUAGUAGGGACUGUGGUUGUCAUGACUUCAAGCGAAGGAGGGCGCUACUGGCAUUUAGCAUGUGAGAGCCAACUAUGCAUCUUUCCAUACAUUGGGCAAUUCCUCACAGUAAGAAAUUACUCUGCACCCUAUUCGAGUUUUGAAUGUCUCUUUAGACAUUCGUGUACGACCUACAGCUCGUCUGCAAGAAUGUAGCUCUUCAUUCUCGCUGUUUCACAAUCUGUAAGUUGUCUUGUGCUGUAGCUUUAUUUCAAUGAAGGUAUUUUUCGUUCUUACCAUGUACAGAUAAUUGCUGACAUUUGCAAAUAACGUGCAUUGUUAAUUUUCACUAAUGUCUACACAUGCCCCUGCUUUUUCAUGUUCUUCCAGUUCCUUUCUCCCAAGCUCAUACUGGUUCACGGUAAGCGGAGGCGUCUGACGACUCCAUUAUUGCUUAGUACUUAAAGUCGUGCCGAAGUUAUGACCUAUAUUUCUCUCUUACAUUAUAAUAGUAAAUUUGAUAUUUUUCAAUUAGUGAAAUUGUGUGGAUAAUCUAGACGCGAAUUGCACUUUGAAUAUUAGACAAAACAGGUAUUGCCUACUAGGUGGUAAAAACUGACAGAAUAGUUCGUCUAGAACCAAUGAAUUAGAUGCAAAGGCGCCAAGGACUAUAAGAACACCUGAUACUGGCUGGUAUUGGGGAGGUAAAAUCAGACUUAGGAACAAUGUGUAGGGAUGGGGGAAGCAAGGAACUGGUUUAAGUCGUUAGGUAACGGAGCAAGGGAAUGUAAAAGCCUACCUACUGUCUGAAAAUGUUUUGGUCCUAAAUAG